rnacentral:lncRNA from 1 species
GCCUGGAGGUCACCAUGGUACCUUGUGUACAUGGAUCCAUAUUUUGGUUCACUACCUAAGUUGGUUCUUUGAUCCUUGUAUGGGAUAUUCUGGAUAUGGUAAAGUAUACAUAGAGGUUAUGAGUAAUCAAUAAGGGAUCAUCACUCCUAAUAAGGAGAGCGAACAUCCUAUGUGAUCUCAUAGGUCGGUGAUUCGAAAGUCUUUGAUCAAAGCAGGAUGAUAAUUAGAAAUUUUUUUUUAAUAUAUUAUUAAUUGAAUCAUCACCUUU